AUGAGCUCCCCUGCGUUGGGGUAUUUAAUGGGGUUAAGUAGAAUGGGAAGGAAAAUAGCACCGCUCCCUUCAUUUGCUUAGGGGUUCAGGAUAGGAAGAAGUUGCACUGCGGGUUGGGGGAGAAAAUGUGAAUUUUUUCCCCCAAGAAAAAUCUUGCCGGACCACAGGAAGAGAUUGAUUGGGUCCAUCUGGUGAGUGUCGUUUCCUUGUAAACUUAUGAAUCGGAGAUGCCAGUACAUAAUACACCAAAGAAUGAGGACUUUACCUAGGAUUUCAUGUGAGAAUUGAGUCUUCUGUGAUAUUUUUACAAGUUCCACGCACUUCCUACAGCCAUGAUGUUGUCAUCUGCUAAAGUCAGAAGAAUAUAUGUGAGGGUUACAGCAAGAUUCCCUAGGAUCGUGGUAGAAGUGGACACACGGCAUAUUUCCUUUUCUUUCUAUUGCAAAGAAUUUGCUUAAGUUGAGGCAUGCUCAGUUGUGUUUUGGUAUGCACUGACCUUGAGAUUGAGGUUUAUACCUGCAUGGUCCACAAACAAUUUUCAUCUUCAUGAAGAUUUGUUAAUAGACUUGCCAUUUAUUAGAGAGAGGUUUCCUACUAUGUAGGGAAUUGUAUAGAACUCCCUUGAGACAUUGGGCAAGAUAUUUCAUGCCUAUUUCACUUAUUCGGAUUGUAAGCUCUUUAGGGCAGAGACUGUCUAAUUGUACUGUACAAACAAGGCUGUCUUAAUUUUACUUUGGGCAUCUAAUUGCUCCUGGAAUAUCAUCUGAUCUCUACACCUGCCUGUAUGUUUGACUGAAAUUCAGAUCUGCAAAAAUACAGUAUCUUUAGAGAAGUACUUUUGCUAUCAUGUAGGUAACUGAAAGAACUACAGCAACAACAAAGAGAAGACACAGAUUUGCUAAAGCCAUAGUUGUAACCAACUCUAAGAUACCUAUUUUAUUUCACUUUGAAGCCAUUUGACUGCAACUAACUUUUCAGAAAUACUUUCAAUCCUAUUUCUCACUGCCCCAACACUUUGUAUAUCUUCCCUUAACCUUCCCAAUAAUCUUCUCCCUGUUAACGCCCCUGGCUUUACUGGCAUAUUUAGACACAGAAAAUUAGUGCAAUAAUGUCUAAUCUCAUGUCAGAUAUGACUUAAUUUAUCCCUAGGAGCAGCAGUUUCAUAAAAAAAACCUAACUUUCUUGUACAAUAUCCAUUUGCAUCACUCAAAAAUGUAAAACUACUUCUAAAUACUUUAAGUCAAAUCAAUAAGCUAAAAUAAGAACAGGUGCUUCAAUUAAACACUCUAUUCUUCAUUGGUGGUAGCAUGUAUGCCAGGCCCGUAUGUGGCAAUAAACUGUAACAGCUGCUGGUA